rnacentral:rRNA from 1 species
GUAGAGAGUUUGAUCMUGGCUCAGGAUGAACGCUGGCGGCGUGCUUAACACAUGCAAGUCGAACGAUGAUCUCCAGCUUGCUGGGGGGAUUAGUGGCGAACGGGUGAGUAACACGUGAGUAACCUGCCCUUAACUCUGGGAUAAGCCUGGGAAACUGGGUCUAAUACCGGAUAUGACUCCUCAUCGCAUGGUGGGGGGUGGAAAGCUUUAUUGUGGUUUUGGAUGGACUCGCGGCCUAUCAGCUUGUUGGUGAGGUAAUGGCUCACCAAGGCGACGACGGGUAGCCGGCCUGAGAGGGUGACCGGCCACACUGGGACUGAGACACGGCCCAGACUCCUACGGGAGGCAGCAGUGGGGAAUAUUGCACAAUGGGCGCAAGCCUGAUGCAGCGACGCCGCGUGAGGGAUGACGGCCUUCGGGUUGUAAACCUCUUUCAGUAGGGAAGAAGCGAAAGUGACGGUACCUGCAGAAGAAGCGCCGGCUAACUACGUGCCAGCAGCCGCGGUAAUA